rnacentral:rRNA from 1 species
UGGGGAAUAUUGGACAAUGGGGGGAACCCUGAUCCAGCCAUGCCGCGUGUGUGAAGAAGGCCUUAUGGUUGUAAAGCACUUUAAGCGAGGAGGAGGGUACUGGUAUUAAUACUACCAGGUACUGGACGUUACUCGCAGAAUAAGCACCGGCUAACUCUGUGCCAGCAGCCGCGGUAAUACAGAGGGUGCGAGCGUUAAUCGGAUUUACUGGGCGUAAAGCGUGCGUAGGCGGCUAAUUGAGUCGGAUGUGAAAUCCCCGAGCUUAACUUGGGAAUUGCAUUCGAUACUGGUUAGCUAGAGUGUGGGAGAGGAUGGUAGAAUUCCAGGUGUAGCGGUGAAAUGCGUAGAGAUCUCGAGGAAUACCGAUGGCGAAGGCAGCCAUCUGGCCUAACACUGACGCUGAGGUACGAAAGCAUGGGGAGCAAACAGG